rnacentral:rRNA from 1 species
GAUGAACGCUGGCGGCGUGCCUAAUACAUGCAAGUCGAGCGAACGGACGAGAAGCUUGCUUCUCUGAUGUUAGCGGCGGACGGGUGAGUAACACGUGGAUAACCUACCUAUAGACUGGGAUAACUUCGGGAAACCGGAGCUAAUACCGGAUAAUAUUUUGAACCGCAUGGUUCAAAAGUGAAAGACGGUCUUGCUGUCACUUAUAGAUGGAUCCGCGCUGCAUUAGCUAGUUGGUAAGGUAACGGCUUACCAAGGCAACGAUGCAUAGCCGACCUGAGAGGGUGAUCGGCCACACUGGAACUGAGACACGGUCCAGACUCCUACGGGAGGCAGCAGUAGGGAAUCUUCUGCAAUGGGCGAAAGCCUGACGGAGCAACGCCGCGUGAGUGAUGAAGGUCUUCGGAUCGUAAAACUCUGUUAUUAGGGAAGAACAUAUGUGUAAGUAACUGUGCACAUCUUGACGGUACCUAAUCAGAAAGCCACGGCUAACUACGUG